rnacentral:rRNA from 1 species
GGGCGUAAGCGCGCGCAGGUGGUUUCUUAAGUCUGAUGUGAAGCCCCGGCUCAACCGUGGGAGGGUCAUUGGAAACUGGGAGACUUGAGUGCAGAAGAGGAAAGUGGAUUCCAUGUGUAGCGGUGAAAUGCGUAGAGAUAUGGAGGAACACCAGUGUCGAAGGCGACUUUCUGGUCUGUCACUGACACUGAGGCGCGAAAGCGUGGGGAGCAACAGGAUUAGAUACCCUGGUAGUCCACGCCGUAAACGAUGAGUGCUAAGUGUUAGAGGGUUUCCGCCCUUUAGUGCUGAAGUUAACGCAUUAAGCACUCCGCCUGGGGAGUACGGCCGCAAGGCUGAAACUCAAAGGAAUUGACGGGGCCCCGCACAAGCGGUGAAGCAUGUGUUUUAUUCGAGCACGCGAAAAACCUUACCGGUCUUGACAUCCCCUGAAAACCCUAAAAAUAGGGUUCUCCUUCGGGAACAAAAUUAAAAGGUGCUGCUGGUUGCCUCCACCCCUUUCCGGAAAUUUUGGUUUUAAGUCCCCGAACCAGGGCAACCUUGUCUUUAUUGCCCCCCUUUAAUUGGGGCCCCUUAGGGGAAUGCCGGGGAAAAACCCCGGGAAGGGGGGGGGACCCAAAAUUCCUGGCCCUUUUAACGGGGGGGAAACCCUUUUCAUUUUGGGGAAAAAAAAGCCGUAAACCCCGGGGGGUCUUUUUUCCAAAAACUUUUUUUCCGUUUUUAGACCCCCCCCCCCCUUUUACGGAAAUCCUAAAACGGUCCCCCCUCGGGGGAAUUCCCCCAAAAAAA